GCGGCCGUGGUGAAGCGGUUAACACACCUGGCUGUGAACCAGGCAUUCGGGGGUUCAAGUCCCCUCGGUCGCCCCA
rnacentral:tRNA from 3 species